UACGUAGGGAGCGAGCGUUGUCCGGAUUCACUGGGUGUAAAGGGCGCGCAGGCGGGUCGGCUAGUCAGUGGUGAAAUACUACAGCUUAACUGUAGAACUGCCUUUGAUACUGCCGAUCUUGAGUAUGGAAGAGAGAGACGGAAUUCCAGGUGUAGUGGUGAAAUACGUAGAUAUCUGGAAGAACACCAGUUGCGCAGGCGGUCUCUUGGUCCAAUACUGACGCUCAGGCGCGAAAGCGUGGGGAGCAAACAGG
rnacentral:rRNA from 1 species